rnacentral:rRNA from 1 species
UGUUGCAUGGCUGUCGUCAGCUCGUGUCGUGAGAUGUUCGGUUAAGUCCGCUAACGAGCGCAACCCUCGCCGUAUGUUACAAGUGUCAUACGGGACUGCCGGUAAAAAGCCGGAGGAAGGUGAGGAUGAUGUCAAGUCAGCAUGACCUUUAUAUCCAGGGCUACACACACGCUACAAUGGUCUGUACAAUUGGUUGCCAAGCCGCGAGGCGGAGCCAAUCCGUAAAGCAGGCCUCAGUUCAGAUUGCAGUCUGCAACUCGACUGCAUGAAGCCGGAGUUGCUAGUAACCGCAGGUCAGCAAUACUGCGGUGAAUACGUUCCCGGGUCUU